UACCGGUCAGGGCUGCCCGCACGCGCGCCUUACUAGCAGUGGUUGCGAGAUCGGAGAAGGGGAAGGAGAAAUGAGGCCGGGGACGGAAGGAUACGUGUAGUCACAGGCUCGGUUUCACGUGAAGGGCAAGGAGGUGUAGAUGUUCGCUGAAGGCUAGCCUCAGGAUUCAGUCAGGCAUUAGGAAGGACAAUCGGGGGAUACUAACGAGAGGUCCUCAGAGCAAAGUUGAAGGCGAGCGGCGAAUACCUGCUCUUCCCUGCCGCAGAGAGGACGGGAGGUUCUUGCUUGGCUUCGCUUUAAACCAUUUAAUCGGGGGCUCACAGCUGGAGGAAUUUGCCUUGGGAUGAAUCGUGCCUUGAGUCUACCUAUAUCUGGUUUAGAUGAGACUUUGGACUUCGGGCUUUUGAGUUGAUGCUGGAUUAAGACUUUUGGGACUAUUGGGAUGGAAUGAAUACAUUUUGCAAGUGAGAAGGACAUAAAUUUGGCAGGGGGCCAGGGGGAGAAUUUUAUGCUUUGGAUGUGUCCCCCCAAAAUUCGUAUGUUGGAAACUUGGCUGCCAUUGUGGCAGUACUGAAAGGUGUGGCCUUUGGGAGGCAAUUGGGUCACAAGGACAGAGCCUUCACGAAUGGAUUGAUGUUGUUACUACAGGAGUGGACUCCUGAUAAAAGGAUAAGUUUGGCUGCCAUUGUCUGUCUGUUUCAUGUACUAACUUCUGCCUUUCACUUUUCCAUCAUGGGAUGAACUUCACCGGAAGACAGUGCCAGCCUCCAGAACUGUGAGCUGAAUAAACGUCUUUUCUUUAAACAUUA